GGAGAAACCCGUCACGUGAGCAAAGCGUUUGGGAAACCCUCUGAAUGCUAAUCAAGCUUCAGCGGGAAAGCACAGCUGCUUCACGCAGCCAAGCUCAGCAACGGUGGACCUUAACUUUUCUUAUUCGCUUCUAAACGCUUAAUGGAUAUUCCCCAAAGCGUUGCCGGUUCCGCCACUAGUGUAUAGAAAACAUACUAAUUGUUGAAUUUUUAAAAAGUGAAUGUGCAUUAUGUAUUACACAGGAUUUUUGGUAACGAUUUCUAGGAGCAUUGGGGUGUCUCCGUAACAUUUCAAUUUGACAUGAACCAAUGUCGACCCUCAAAGGAUCCAAUCCAAUGCAGCUGGGGACUGAGUGUCGUUCAUUGCGCUCAUAAGUGUUCUUGUUAAUAGCACCCCUGUCCUCCAGCUCGUGGUGACAUGCAGUCUCUCAUAUCUCCAAUUACCAAGGCUAUUUUAGUAGCUUUAUUUAUUUUUGCGAUCUUGCUCAUCCUUUAUGUCAUUUUAUGGUACAUAUGCCGAGACGUGGAUUGUGACCACGGCAUCUGAUUAGAGGAACUGGACAGAUUUGAAGAUAUAAGCAACAUAAACUGACAUUGAGAAGCUGGGUGGGUAUUAAGGAGUCCAUUUAGUGGAAGCAAUUGGAAUGAUGAGUCAGUGACACUGCAGUGGACAGCACAUGAAAAGAAGAACUGGAGUGAGUCAGAGUGGAGAAACGGCAUAAACAAGACCUUGCCAGAGAGUGCCUGCAGUGUCACCUGCCCUAAGUUCGGGACGGUCAUCAUAUGGUGGCAGUAAUGAGGACCUCCAAGGCAGGCUGUGGAAACAGUGCAGGGCCUCUCAGAGCCUGCAGGAUGAGGGCCACAGGAAGGACUGAGGGUCCCGCUCUCUCUUCCUAAUAAGACAACCUCAUCUCUGCGAUUAUCGUGCAAAGAGUGAUAAUUCUUAUGAGAAUAUUUACACGAAUACGACACACACGAACACGAAAGAAAGAGGUGUGCUAGGACCUCAAUGUGCCUCAUACACAGAACCAGCAGAACCCUUCACUUCGCUAUAUACACAUGCCCAUGCACUCGCAUCACAAAAAUAGUUCAUGAAUUUUCUUAUUUUUGGCAAAAGAAAAACCCCUGCUGAGAUAAAACUUGUUAUAGAGAUCGUUUCUUGAAUGGAACUAGUCAGCCGAGAAGCAUUGUGGAGAAAUGCACAGCGAACUGAUAAAGAUGGGAAACAAUUUGUGCUGCAAUCAUCAAUUUCCAUUUCAAAGUGAAGAGCUGAAGACAAUGUCAGAGACUCACAUAAUGUCAAGCCAUUCCCCUCUGUUGCACUGCCAACAUGCACAGAUGCUUUAGAAUCUUCCGGUAAAGAAGCAUCAUGCAGGUAAUUGGCUUCUCAUCUUAUUUUGGGUGAUAUUUAAUUGAAAUCAUGUUGAUUUACAUUACUGUGAGGAACCCAUGAAUUUUAAACUUUUAUGUGUUCUGAAAUAACAUUAGGAUGCUGUUCAUUUCUAUUUGACUGACCGUUAUUUCUGUGUUACUUGAAUAAGAACAGACCACAUUUACAAUUAAGCCCUCUAACAAAAUGGCUGGUUGAUCUGUUAUAUUUCUAAUGACAAUGUAACCUGCCACCUAUUGUAGUCUUUGGGGGAAAAAAACAAUUAAAAAAACAAGCGUAACAUUGAUGCAGCUGAAAUUCUGAUGUGUUUGCAUAGCUGUUGGAAGAAACUGCCAAAAGUGAUGCAAAUGGCAUACUGGGCUUUGGAACUAUCUGGUCUUUCCUGGAUUCUCUGAGUCUGACUUUUAGACACAUUACAUUUUAGACACCUCUGUCUUGUGUGUGUCCAUGUGCUUAUGCACGUGCAGAAAUAUCAACAAAUCUUGCAGACUUGAUGAGCAUAGCAAUUACCAAGAAAAGUGUAACUAUCAUAGGAAAAGAAACAAACUAAGUAAAAAAAAGAAUCAAUUAAACAAUGUUUGUAUAUGAAAUGCCAAAUAAUAGCCACUGUGAAUUCUUUUUAUAUUUACCAUGCUGGUGGGUAUGACUGUCAUACAAAUUUAAAUGAAUAUUGAUACUGUGAGGCCUUUGAAUCUGAGACUUGUGUGGCAUGAGUGAGAAUGGAGUAUGAUCAAAAAUGAAGGUUAAUUAUCUUUGGCUGUUUUUUUUUUUGUUUUUUGUAGUGCAGUACCAUUCUAAUAACACAGAAAAAUGUUCUAUGUAAAAAAAUAAUCACUUUGUUAAUUUCAAAUCACUUUUAGAGUUAAUUUAGCACUUUGAACUCAUAAUUACAGUGGGUUUUUAUUUUCCUUCAGUUUUAGUGUUCAUGAUCUGGAUAUGUGAUUUCCUGGUUUGGCAACCCCCAAAAUUUCUAAGGGCGUGUCCAUAUAUACAUAAGAUAAGGUAGAAAUUAUUUUGAAAUGGAACAAUGCAUAUUAUCAAUUUGUUUUGAUGGACUAUUUUUGAAAUGUAAUGGGGCGACAUAGCUCAGGAGGUAAGACCGAUUGUCUGGCAGUCGGAGGGUUGCCGGUUCAAACCCCGCCCUGGGUGUGUCGAAGUGUCCUUGAGCAAGACACCUAACUCCUAACUGCUCUGGCGAAUGAGAGGCAUCAAUUGUAAAGCUCUUUGGAUAAAAGCGCUAUAUAAAUGCAGUCCAUUUCAUUAUCAUAUUGAACAGAAAGACCUUUGUAAAGAGAAUGGCAAAAUUCUUGCUGCUGUUGAAAUGUGAAUAUUAAAUUAUUUGUUUCAUACUAGUACCAACUACAAAUAGGUAAUUGAUACACCACUAAUAAUACGACAGAAAGAAGUAAUGAUGUUAGUAAUUUCUGAUAUUGACUGGAGUCAUCUUAUAUUUUGUAUUGCCACAAUAAUUCCAUAAUCAGUAAUCCAACAAUAAUUUUAAUCUCAUAAUAUUUCAUAUUUUUUUCAGAAUAGAUCUAUAAAGUCUUUUUUUUCAUAAUCUGAUUUCGUGAGAUUGUGAAUGCAGACUUAGAAGAAAAAAGUUAAAUAAUUCUAUUUCUGCAUAAUUGGGUUAUUUAUUGUUUUCAUUUAACUGCAGGGAGUUUUUAAAAUGCAGUUUCUCUGGUUGAGGGCUGCUGACUUCCAUGUUCACUUGUAUUGGAAAGUACUGCUCAUGUGACUAAUUAAAGAGCUAUAUAUGUGUUAAGUGUUUGUUCUUUUUCAGUAAUGUGCUAGUGUUAUGUCAUCGUAACCAUUAUUUGUUCAAAAACUUGUCAUAUUAUAUGUUUGAUUAAAAUACCCAUGAGAAAACCUCUCAGCACUCUU